AACGAACGCUGGCGGCAGGCCUCAUACAUGCAAGUCGAGCGAUUAAGACUCCUUCGGGAGUGUAUAAAGCGGCGAACGGGUGAGUAACAGGUGGAUGAUCUACCUUCCGGUGGGGGAUAACGGCUGGAAACGGCCGCUAAUACCGCAUUCGGUUAAUACGCUGCGGCGUAUUAAAGAAAGGCGCUUCAAAGCGCCGCCGGGAGAUGAGUCCGCCCCCCAUUAGCUAGUUGGUGAGAUAACAGCUCACCAAGGCAACGAUGGGUAGCCGAACUGAGAGGUUGAUCGGCCACACUGGAACUGAGACACGGUCCAGACACCUACGGGUGGCAGCAGUAGGGAAUAUUGGGCAAUGGGCGAAAGCCUGACCCAGCCAUGCCGCGUGCAGGAUGACGGCCCUACGGGUUGUAAACUGCUUUUCCCCGGGGCGAAUAACCCCCUCGCGAGGGGGGAUGCCGGUACCGGGGGAAUAAGGAUCGGCUAACUCCGUG
rnacentral:rRNA from 1 species